rnacentral:rRNA from 1 species
GUCGAGCGAACGGACGAGAAGCUUGCUUCUCUGAUGUUAGCGGCGGACGGGUGAGUAACACGUGGAUAACCUACCUAUAAGACUGGGAUAACUUCGGGAAACCGGAGCUAAUACCGGAUAAUAUUUUGAACCGCAUGGUUCAAAAGUGAAAGACGGUCUUGCUGUCACUUAUAGAUGGAUCCGCGCUGCAUUAGCUAGUUGGUAAGGUAACGGCUUACCAAGGCAACGAUGCAUAGCCGACCUGAGAGGGUGAUCGGCCACACUGGAACUGAGACACGGUCCAGACUCCCUACGGGAGGCAGCAGUAGGGAAUCUUCCGCAAUGGGCGAAAGCCUCGACGGAGCAACGCCGCGUGAGUGAUGAAGGUCUUCGGAUCGUAAAACUCUGUUAUUAGCGGAAGAACAUAUGUGUAAGUAACUGUGCACAUCUUGACGGUACCUAAUCAGAAAGCCACGGCUAACUACGUGCCAGCAGCCGCGGUAAUACGUAGGUGGCAAGCGUUAUCCGGAAUUAUUGGGCGUAAAGCGCGCGUAGGCGGUUUUUUAAGUCUGAUGUGAAGCCCACGGCUCAACCGUGGAGGGUCAUUGGAAACUGGAAAACUUGAGUGCAGAAGAGGAAAGUGGAAUUCCAUGUGUAGCGGUGAAAUGCGCAGAGAUAUGGAGGAACACCAGUGGCGAAGGCGACUUUCUGGUCUGUAACUGACGCUGAUGUGCGAAAGCGUGGGGAUCAAACAGGAUUA